UGACUCCUUCAGCAGUGGUUUAAGGAAGUAUCUUAAUUUUUAAAUCACAUGUUGACCAUGCAGCCAAUUGUUGGCCCGUAGAGUGAACAAAACCAUUUAGAUACUGCCGAGAUAAGGGAGGAAUUAAUUCUGUAUAGAAAGUCUAUGGGAAACCAAAGACCACAAGAUUGAGGGCUUGGAGCUGGAGAAAGGGAAAAGAAAAAGCAGACUGUGACUCUCUGGGGAAAGAACUGAAAGAUGACACUAGGAAUUCUCAAAGCGAGAGGAAAAGGAAAGGCCCUUUUUCGGAAAUGACCUCUGAUAAACACACCCUCCAGGGUUACACCUGCCACUGUGUCUUCCACGGACAGACAAGCUGCACUUUAGCAGU
rnacentral:lncRNA from 1 species